rnacentral:ncRNA from 1 species
AUAAAGGCGUUGAAGAAGAAGAGUACGGCACUGCCCUUGCAAGAGAGAACCAUUCACAGGCUGGAAGGUGGUUUCAAGAAGGAGUGGCGGAAGGUAGCUUUGGAGCCGGAUGGCUGAAAGAUGAGUAGGCCACCCCGGAGUCGUUCCCGUUAAAGAAUAUGAUGAGAUAUAUGGAAGUUGUUUCUUCUAUAUAAUGAAGGUGGUACCGCGGAUUUUUAUUUCGCCCUUUAC